rnacentral:rRNA from 1 species
ACUCAAAGGAAUUGACGGGGACUUGCACAAGCAGUGGAUUAUGCGGUUCAAUUCGAUGACAAACGAAAAACCUUACCAAGGUUAGAAAUCUACGUGAAGACGAGCAGAAACGUUCGUCGUCCGCAAGGACUCGUAGACAGGUGAUGCAUGGCCGUCGUCAGUUCGUGAUUUGAAUUGUUCCCUUAAGUGGGGUAACGAACGCAACCCUCGUUGCCAGUUACAAGUGUCUGGCGAGACUGCUCCGGUUUGAGGUCACUACGCGCGAGCGUAGCGAGUUCAGACCGGAGAGGAAGGCGAGGAUGACGCCAGGUCCGCAUGUCCCUCUGAUACCUUGGGCCACACGCAUAAUACAAUCGCACAUACAACGGGUCGCGACGGGGUAACCCUGAGCCAAUCCUAAUAAAGUGUGCGCCAGUUCGGAUAGGGGGCUGCAACUCGACCCCUUGAAGCCGGAAUUGCUAGUAAUCGCGGGUCAGCUAUACCGCGGUGAAUACGUUCUCAAGUCUUGUACACACCGCCCGU